CUGAAAAACUUUUCAAGUUUUUUUAUAUCCCAUUGUCUACCUACCAUGUUGCUUCCACUGGGCAUGUUUUACCUAUGUAAAACCUUUGGCUUGUGUGAAUAACACAAGUUAAGGAAGUUGCCGGUGGCAAGACCAUCUACCAAAACUUGAUUAAAAAUACUGUGUCUGAAUCUUUUGCUUCAAUGAAAUA
rnacentral:misc_RNA from 1 species